UUCAGUUAUAAUACAACGACGGACGUACGACCACACGACGGCGCUGAUGGACACUUUUUCGAUCGUUGGAGUGUGAUAACAGAAGACACAGCAACUGAAGACCAGGUGAUAAACCCGAUAACAGCAACUAAUUAGCCACUUGGGUUGUACCGUUGUAUCGGUGAAGAGUGCAGUAAGGUCAACAUUGGGCCUGUGAUCAGUGGUGGGAACCGUUUGUUUUCGACCACACGUUCGGUACCCAACAUAUAUCAACAAAUCGGUUUAUCAUUAAUAUCUACAUUCGACUACAAUUAUUUACAAUACAAUGUUUUCUAAAAAAUAUGUCCGAAAAUAUUAAAAAUUAUAUUUAUUAAACAAAUUAUUUUAUUUUAUUUAUUAUUAAAAAUAUAUUUAAAAUAAUAAAAACGAUACCUUCUAAAACUAGAUCUAGAUUAUACGAAAAAUAAAAAAAUAUAUAAUAUGUAUUAUUAUUAAAGUUUAUAAAUGAGAAUAAAUUCAUAAUGAUAUUAUACCUUUGCGAAUCAAAUUUCAUAUUCAGAAGUGAAAUAAUAUUUGUUAGAAAAAAA